rnacentral:rRNA from 1 species
AUUGAACGCUGGCGGCAGGCCUAACACAUGCAAGUCGAGCGGCUGAAGGGAGCUUGCUCGUGGAUUCAGCGGCGGACGGGUGAAUAAUGCCUAGGAACCUCGCUGGUAGCGGGGGAUAACGUCCGGAAACGGGCGCUAAUACCGCAUACGUCCUGAGGGCGAACGUGGGGGAUCUUCGGACCUCCCGCUCUCAGACGAGCCGAGGUCGGAUUAGCUAGUUGGUGGGGUAAAGGCCUACCAAGGCGACGAUCCGUAGCUGGUCUGAGAGGAUGAUCAGUCACACUGGAACUGAGACACGGUCCAGACUCCUACGGGAGGCAGCAGUGGGGAAUAUUGGACAAUGGGCGAAAGCCUGAUCCAGCCAUGCCGCGUGUGUGAAGAAGGCCUUCGGAUUGUAAAGCACUUUUGUUGGGGAGGAAAAGCAGUAAGUUAAUACCUCGCUGUUUUGACGUUACCAACAGAAUAAGCACCGGCUAACUUCGUG